AGAGUUUGAUCCUGGCUCAGAUUGAACGCUGGCGGUAUGCUUAACACAUGCAAGUCGAACGGAAACGAAACUAGCUUGCUAGUAGGCGUCGAGUGGCGGACGGGUGAGUAACGCGUAGGAAUCUGCCUGAUAGUGGGGGAUAGCCCGAAGAAAUUCGGAUUAAUACCGCAUAAUCUAUUCGUAGUAAAGUGGGGGACUUUCGAGCCUCACGCUAUCAGAUGAGCCUGCGUAAGAUUAGCUUGUUGGUAGGGUGAAAGCCUACCAAGGCAACGAUCUUUAGCUGGUCUGAGAGGAUGAUCAGCCACAUCGGGACUGAGACACGGCCCGAACUCCUACGGGAGGCAGCAGUGGGGAAUAUUGGACAAUGGGGGCAACCCUGAUCCAGCAAUACCGCGUGUGUGAAGAAGGCCUGAGGGUUGUAAAGCACUUUCAAUUGUGAAGAAAAGUUAAUGGUUAAUAACCGUUGACCUUGACGUUAACUUUAGAAGAAGCACCGGCUAACUCCGUGCCAGCAGCCGCGGUAAUACGGAGGGUGCAAGCGUUAAUCGGAAUUACUGGGCGUAAAGCGUGCGUAGGCGGUUUAUUAAGUCAGAUGUGAAAGCCCCGGGCUCAACCUGGGAACUGCAUUUGAAACUGGUCAACUAGAGUAUGGUAGAGGAAAGUGGAAUUUCUGGUGUAGCGGUGAAAUGCGUAGAUAUCAGAAGGAACAUCAAUGGCGAAGGCAGCUUUCUGGACCAAUACUGACGCUGAGGUACGAAAGCGUGGGUAGCAAACAGGAUUAGAUACCCUGGUAGUCCACGCCGUAAACGAUGAUAACUAGCCGUUGGGGGGAUUUACCCUUUAGUGGCGAAGCUAACGCGUUAAGUUAUCCGCCUGGGGAGUACGGCCGCAAGGCUAAAACUCAAAGGAAUUGACGGGGACCCGCACAAGCGGUGGAGCAUGUGGUUUAAUUCGAUGCAACGCGAAGAACCUUACCUGGUCUUGACAUCCUGCGAACUUUCUAGAAAUAGAUUGGUGCCUUCGGGAACGCAGUGACAGGUGCUGCAUGGCUGUCGUCAGCUCGUGUCGUGAGAUGUUGGGUUAAGUCCCGUAACGAGCGCAACCCCUAUCCUUAUUUGCCAGCACAUUAUGGUGGGAACUAUAAGGAGACUGCCGGUGAUAAACCGGAGGAAGGCGGGGACGACGUCAAGUCAUCAUGGCCCUUACGACCAGGGCUACACACGUGCUACAAUGGGAAGGACAAAGAGCCGCGAAGCCGCGAGGUGUAGCUAAUCUCAUAAAUCUUUUCGUAGUCCGGAUUGGAGUCUGCAACUCGACUCCAUGAAGUCGGAAUCGCUAGUAAUCGUAGAUCAGAAUGCUACGGUGAAUACGUUCCCGGGUCUUGUACACACCGCCCGUCAUACCAUGGGAGUGGGUUGCACCAGAAGUGGCUAGUCUAACUUUGUGAGGACGGUCACCACGGUGUGAUUCAUGACUGGGGUAAAGUCGUAACAAGGUAACC
rnacentral:rRNA from 1 species